UACGUAGGGGGCAAGCGUUGUCCGGAAUCAUUGGGCGUAAAGCGCGUGUAGGCGGUUCGAUAAGUCUGCUGUGAAAGUCCAGGGCUCAACCCUGGGAUGCCGGUGGAUACUGUCGGACUAGAGUGCGGAAGAGGCGAGUGGAAUUCCCGGUGUAGCGGUGGAAUGCGCAGAUAUCAGGAAGAACACCCGUGGCGAAGGCGGCUCUCUGGAACGCAACUGACGCUGAGACGCGAAAGCGUGGGGAGCAAACAGG
rnacentral:rRNA from 1 species